rnacentral:sRNA from 1 species
AUAUCUCUCCGUACGGGAAGGAUGAGAAGCUUCGACUAAGGUUCGAUUCGAGCGCAGCGAGAACGCGUUGCCGCAGGCAACGACCCGAAGGGC